rnacentral:lncRNA from 1 species
GUAUUUUGAAAUAUUUUCAUUUAGUGUUCUUUCUAUUUACAUAAUCAUGUUUUCCCCUGUAUAAUCCUUACAACUAUGUAAGUUUUCUCAUCCUGUAGCUUGAAAACAAACUUGGCACACAAGUCGGGCCGUUUUACUCAUUUGAAAGGUUAAAUACACUUUUCAAUUCGGGGCCUUUUAUAACGGUAUAGGUUUUGCUCAAUAUUGAAGACCGUACGUUGACA